rnacentral:lncRNA from 1 species
GUUCUUACCAGAACCCCGUGGCUUGCCCGUGAGGCUUGAGCCUAAAAUGGUCAGUGAGCCUGCUGUGCACUGAGUGUGCACAUCUGCACUCUAUCAGUCAUGUAUCGCACACAUUGCUGUGGAGCAGAGCACAUUUUCUGAAAUAUAAGAAUCUUGGCACCAUGAUGCAGGGAGCAGUGUCUGUCUUGCUAUUGAAUUCACAACGU